GUGUGUGUGUGUGUGUGUGUGUGUGUGUGUGUGUGUGUUCGUGGUAGCGUGGUCAGUGUGUGUAUAUGUGUGUGUGUGUUUGUGUUAGCGUGGUCAGUGUGUGUGUAUGUGUGUGUGUGUUCGUGGUAGCGUGGUCAGUGUGUGUGUGUGUGUGUUUGUGUUAGCGUGGUCAGUGUGUGUGUAUGUGUGUGUGUGUGUGUUCGUGGUAGCGUGGUCAGUGUGUGUGUAUGUGUGUGUGUGUAUGUGUGUGUGUGUGUGUGUAUGUGUGUGUGUGUAUAUGUGUGUGUGUUUGUGGUAGCGUGGUCAGUGUGUGUGUGUAUGUGUGUGUAUUUGUGUUAGCGUGGUCAGUGUGUCUGUGUUUGUGUGUCUGUCUGUAGGGAUGUGCGUAUGUGUGUGCCCGUCUCUGUGCGUGUGGCAGGGGUGGGGAGAAGGCAAUAUCGGUGAACAAUUCUAGCUCUGCCUGUGCUCUUUGCUGUGAAAUCAGUUGAAAGUACGAAAUGUUCACAAGUGAGGAGACGACUUCAGAGGGAGGGUUUGUUAAAGAAAAUAACCCAGUCCGGUGAACAGAAAUUGUUCCAGAGCGGAAAGGGAAAGCGGUUCGUGAUAUAAAUACAGCAGCGUGGGCUCGCUGUGAGCCACAGAUUAGCAGCGGCAGGAUGAGAGUUUGUUACAAGAACUCUUUAUCAAUCCCAACAGGUAACGGAAUUCCGGCUCGGAUUGCCGGGCCGCCCUGAUUUAUAGACCAACCGGCACCGGAUGAAGCACAAAAAAAAUCAGGGGCUGCUGGCGGAGGGAGCGAACCUGUGAGGACAGUUCGUGGAACGGCGGGACGGGAGCACAUCCAGAGCGAUCCUGCCUGAACCACUCGGCACUUCCAGCAUUUUCUCUUUUUAUUUCUGAUUCACAUCAUCUGCAUUUUUUAUAUUCAACCUCUACUUUUAAUGGUUUGUGGAUUCCAAGUUCCUACUUCACUGCUCUGUUCAGAUACCACAAAACAUGAUUCACAGGAAACACCUUUAUUAACUCUUCCAGCCAAAAUGCACAGGUGUCUUGUGAAUUGCAUGCCAGUUUUGCAGAUUCAUUGAUGUUGUUUUGAAUGUUGCAGCAAUCUUCAGUAUUUUCCUCAAACACUCGGUGUCAUUUGUAGGAGGUGGUAUCAAUGCCCCAAACCCAAACUUUUUAAAUACUUGGUCAAACACCAUUUUGCCACUGCCAGUAUCAGAUUAGUCCUUCAUCCAGAUUUUCUGUCUUGGGAAUUCAUAUACAUUGAUUUUUAGCUGCUGUGGGAUAAAACAACACAUGAGAGGCCAUGAGAAUGCUAUUGCUUCCACCGAAUGGAUUGGAAUACGACAUCUGCUCCGGUGAUAACAAGCGCUGAUUAGAUCACAUUGAAGUCCUGGGAGCAGAUCUGGCCACCACUUCCUAGAAUGUAUGGUGCUUGGAAAGAAUGCAAGAGUACAUUUAUGAGAAUAAGAUCUGUGCUCCUGAGUUAAGCUACAUUACCAGGAGAGGUUGAGCAAGCAUGUUGAGGGGCCAUAGGAGUCUCCUGCUGGAGUGACCCCAGGAGCCAGCAAUGUGGAAUGCUCACCUGGAGACCGGUGACCGAAAAAUCUGUAUUCAGAUUAUAAAGCGGAUAUUGAAUAAAGGCCAGAAUUAGGAAUGACCCCAUUGUUGUUAGAUCAUCGCAAGAAAAAGUCCCUUCUCUGGAGUUCCUUGGGAAAGGAAAUUGAUUGUCUGAACAGAGCUCGUCCCAUACCUGACUGACCAACUGCAACUUGGAAUAUCUCAGGUCAGAGGUUUGAAGGGAACAGCAGGAACACUUGGGAUAUCCCGAAAAAUCAACGUCCCAUGAACAAACAAUUAAAACCAGAAACUCCCUUUCUCUUCAUAGCGUCUAAUGCAGGUCUCAUUACCUCUUCAUUGUUGUUAUGGAGGUCCUGCCCUCCCUAAUUCAAAGCUAACCACUAUCAAAAUAUGAGGGUAGAAGUCCAAGACAAGAAGAAGGAGCGUCAAAGUGGAUGGAAGGGGAGAAAACUCGGCACAGAGUGGCCUUUGCUUGGAACACACUGCCAGAGGAGGUGGUGGAAUCAUAUACAACCAAAUUUAGAUAGACACUCAAGGAGGCAAGGUUCCAAGGUGGGAAAUGAGAUUAGUGUAGAUGGGAAAAAAAGUUUGACAUGGAUGUGAUGGGCCUGUUCCUCUGCUGAGCAAACUCCAUGUGACCACAGGUAUCAAAGUUCAAGGAGGAAAACCAUGCUGCUCGAGGCAAUUAGACUUCCUGAGCCCUCUUAAGGAUCCUCAGAAUCCAUGGCAGCCAACACUGGCUGGGUCCAGAGAAAUCAGCAGACAUCUUCAGUAUGAGAGAAGGAUGAAGUGAAGAGGCUUUGCACAGCCACACCUGGCAUUGGUCCAGUGGAUUUCUACUGGUCCACAAGGAGUGGACUUACUGGUACCUGGGUCACUUUACUGACAAAUGUGCUUCUGUGCUCAGAUGCAGUGAAUGAAGAAACCAAAGUAAAUAUUCUUCAGCAGAUUUCUGAAAACUCAUCGAGAAUAUUUUAAAAUCCCAGACCAGUUUUGCCUGAGAGGAAGGAUAACAUGUCAGUGACGGUCCAUUAUUACUUUUGGUACGCGCUGUGACACUUCAAACUCGUACCGUGAGUAAUAAUGCACAGUGGCUGAUGCUUCCACCGUAAAACCUUCAUCUCUAGGAAAAUCUAGACAGACCAUUGUGACUGUGACCGACAAAGAGUUCCUGCAGACUUUAACUGGUCAACAAACCCUGAACUCUUUGCUGAUUUGAGCUAACUUACCUAACGAUACAAAAGGAAGGCCAAAGACAAUUUUGAUUUCAAGUUCACACCCUCUUUGAUAAAGGAAAUCAUCUUCAUGAAAUACAACACAAUAAUGUGACAGAAGUUGACAAUUGAAUAAAUACAUUUCCUCUUUGUUCUUAACCAUUUAUAUAAUGAAUGUUGCACAUUAUCAAGCUGUGUUUUCUACUUAGAGAAUGAUACAAAUUACAUUUGGACUAAUUUAUUACAAAGUAAUCAGUGUUAAUUCCUCACUUUAAUAUAUUUUGUGAUUUAUUUGUAGAGAUUGACUAAAAUUUCGCAAUUGUUAUUAUGUUCAUUUAAUCUGCAAAACAUUCUUCACUUUUUACCUCUCCUCAGAGUGCCAUCUGAGAACCUACUGAAGAGAAAUGUUUUAAAUAAGUAAUGUGGGAAAAUCUGAAACAAAAAUGGAUUGGUAUCAAGGCUUGAAGCUGGUGAGGUCGAAAGAAGAUUCUGUAAACACCAAAUUCACAUAUACAGUGGAUUCAUAGGAGUCUGCACAUUGUGCUUCCUUCUGCUAAGCUUUUCUCCAUAGAAAUCUCUUUAAAGAUUGUUUUUGCUUUGUUCAUAUCUCUGAUAUUACAGAUAACUUUGGAAA